GACGAACGCUGGCGGCGUGCUUAACACAUGCAAGUCGAACGGAAAGGCCCUGCUUUUGUGGGGUGCUCGAGUGGCGAACGGGUGAGUAACACGUGAGUAACCUGCCCUUGACUUUGGGAUAACUUCAGGAAACUGGGGCUAAUACCGGAUAGGAGCUCCUGCUGCAUGGUGGGGGUUGGAAAGUUUCGGCGGUUGGGGAUGGACUCGCGGCUUAUCAGCUUGUUGGUGGGGUAGUGGCUUACCAAGGCUUUGACGGGUAGCCGGCCUGAGAGGGUGACCGGCCACAUUGGGACUGAGAUACGGCCCAGACUCCUACGGGAGGCAGCAGUGGGGAAUAUUGCACAAUGGGCGGAAGCCUGAUGCAGCAACGCCGCGUGCGGGAUGACGGCCUUCGGGUUGUAAACCGCUUUCGCCUGUGACGAAGCGUGAGUGACGGUAAUGGGUAAAGAAGCACCGGCUAACUACGUGCUAGCAGCCGCGGUGAUACGUAGGGUGCAAGCGUUGUCCGGAUUUAUUGGGCGUAAAGGGCUCGUAGGUGGUUGAUCGCGUCGGAAGUGUAAUCUUGGGGCUUAACCCUGAGCGUGCUUUCGAUACGGGUUGACUUGAGGAAGGUAGGGGAGAAUGGAAUUCCUGGUGGAGCGGUGGAAUGCGCAGAUAUCAGGAGGAACACCAGUGGCGAAGGCGGUUCUCUGGGCCUUUCCUGACGCUGAGGAGCGAAAGCGUGGGGAGCGAACAGGCUUAGAUACCCUGGUAGUCCACGCUGUAAACGGUGGGUACUAGGUGUGGGGUCCAUUCCACGGGUUCCGUGCCGUAGCUAACGCUUUAAGUACCCCGCCUGGGGAGUACGGCCGCAAGGCUAAAACUCAAAGGAAUUGACGGGGCCCCGCACAAGCGGCGGAGCAUGCGGAUUAAUUCGAUGCAACGCGUAGAACCUUACCUGGGUUUGACAUGGAUCGGGAGCGCUCAGAGAUGGGUGUGCCUCUUUUGGGGUCGGUUCACAGGUGGUGCAUGGCUGUCGUCAGCUCGUGUCGUGAGAUGUUGGGUUAAGUCCCGCAACGAGCGCAACCCUUGUUCACUGUUGCCAGCACGUUAUGGUGGGGACUCAGUGGAGACCGCCGGGGUCAACUCGGAGGAAGGUGGGGAUGACGUCAAGUCAUCAUGCCCCUUAUGUCCAGGGCUUCACGCAUGCUACAAUGGCUGGUACAGAGAGUGGCGAGCCUGUGAGGGUGAGCGAAUCUCGGAAAGCCGGUCUCAGUUCGGAUUGGGGUCUGCAACUCGACCUCAUGAAGUCGGAGUCGCUAGUAAUCGCAGAUCAGCAACGCUGCGGUGAAUACGUUCCCGGG
rnacentral:rRNA from 1 species